CAAGAAGGUCGCAUAAUUCUUGUAAAUGUUGAAAUAAACAACAACAUAUUUUCUUUAAUAAAUUUAUAUGCACCUAAUGAGAAAAAAAAGCGAAACAUCUUCUUUAAAAAUGUAAAUAAAAUAAUUGAAGAACAUAGUCUCGGAAUUUUAGUAGUAGGGGGAGAUAUGAAUGAAACAUUGAGUAGUACAGAUAGAAAGAAUAAUAAUAAAAAAAGAGAACAAAAAAUUACAAAUAGUUUGAAAACUUUAAUAAAAACAAACAAACUAGAAGAUAUUUGGAGACAAUUACAUCCGAAACUAUAUCAAUAUACAUGGAAACGUAAAAAUAAAGACGAUGAGGCAAGUAGAAUAGAUUAUUUUCUAACGGGUAAGGAAUUGAGAACUAUGAUAAAGUCUACAGAUAUAAGACCAGCCCUAAUUUCUAGUACAGACCAUCAGGCAAUUUCAUUGAAAAUUAACAUGUCCAAUGAUAAUAAGGGUAAAGGGUUCUUUAAAAUAAACAACAGCAUACUAACUGACAAAUCUUAUAAAGAUAAAAUAGAAAAAGUUAUAGACUAUUUUAUACUUAAAAGCAAUUACACUGAAAAUUUAUCACAACUAUGGGACCUGUUUAAAAUUGAAGUAAGAGAAUCAACGAUACAGUUUUGCAAAAAUAAAUCUAGGCAAAGGAAAAAUGAAAUUCAAAAUUUGGAAAAAAAACUUCAAACAUUACAGAAAAGAAAGGAUAAUAAUAAACCAAGUGAAGUAGAAAAGAACGAAAUCAAUUUAUUAGAAAGUGAGAUAGAAUCUCUUUAUAGUUAUAAAGCAAAAGGUGCACAAAUACGUUCAAGAAUAAAAUGGAUAGAAGAAGGGGAAAAGAAUUCUAAAUUUUUUCUAGGAUUAGAGAAAAGUAGACAAACAAGAAAAAAUAUAAUAAAUUUAAAAAACGAUAAAGGGGAGAUAAUUACAAAACAAUCAGAAAUACUAAAUUUAGAAAAGAAAUAUUAUGAAAAGCUUUACACAAGCACUAAACCAGAUAAAAAUUUUAUAAACACAUAUAUUAAGGAUACAAAUAUUAAACAAUCAUUAAGUAAAGAAGAAAGCAAUUCUCUAAAUGGACUUCUAUCAACAGAAGAAUGUACAAAAUCAAUUUUUCAAAUGAAAUUAAAUAAAUCCCCAGGCCUAGAUGGACUCUCAGUAGAGUUUUAUAGAGAAUUUUGGGACAAAUUAAAGAAUUAUGCAAUUCAAAGCUUCAAUUAUUGCUAUAAAAAAGGAAUGUUAUCUGAAUCACAAAAAAUAGGCCUAAUUUCUCUAAUAUUUAAAAAAGGAGACCCCACUGAAUUAGGUAAUUACAGACCAAUUACACUAUUAAAUGUUGAUGUUAAAAUUAUUGCAUAUACAUUAGCCCAAAGAUUAAAACCUGUGAUGUCAAAAAUUAUCCACAGUGACCAAAAUGGAUACAUUAAAAACCGUUAUAUAGGUUUUAAUAUACGUCAGAUACAAGACAUUAUAGAUCAUGCAGAAAAGUUAAAAAUAGAUGGAGCUAUACUUUUUCUAGAUUUUUCCAAAGCCUUUGAUUCCCUAGAGUGGGAAUUCAUGUAUCAAUCACUAACAAAAUUUGGUAUAGAAAAUUCUAUGUUAAGAUGGGUCAAAACCUUGUAUGCAGAUAUCAAGGCAUGUAUUUCUAAUAAUGGAUGGAUUUCAAGCCCACUGAAUAUUUUUAGAGGAAUUCGACAAGGAUGUCCUUUAAGCGCCAUUUUAUUCGUCUUUGCAGUCGAAAUAUUAGCCUGUAGAAUAAGAAACGACAAUAAUCUUAAGGGAAUAAAUAUAAAGUUAGAUGGAAAAACGCACAGCCUUAUAAUAAGCCAGUUAGCUGAUGAUACUACAUUGUUUCUCUGCUCUAAAGAUGAAAUCUCUCAGUCAUUUAAUAUAAUUGAAGUAUUUGGUUCUCUAUCAGGACUUAUUUUAAAUCGAAGUAAAACUGAAGGAUUAGGUUUCGGAAAAUUAAAACAUAUUCAAG
rnacentral:lncRNA from 1 species